AGUGAUUGGCACAGGCAUCAGUUGUGCAAUUCUCUUUCCGAGGGCACUGAAGAACAGUGAAGCAAAGUAGUGGGUCGGAGUUCUGAGCUGGCUUAAAAGGCACCACUGACAUGGCUAACAGAACAAACUCCUCUGAGUAUUUCUGGUCUUACGAAUAUUACUGGGAUUACAUAGAUCCAAUUCCAGUAGAUGGAAGCAAGUUGAAGAUUAAUAAAUACUCCAUCGUCAUUGCCUUUUGGGUUGGCCUUGCUGCGUUUGUGACGUUUCUUUUCCUUAUUUUACUGUGUAUGUCCUGCUCUGGAUCAACGCCAGCAAAUCCAGGAAUUUAGCACGGCCUUGGGUGAGCAACGGAAUUCCUCUGGAAUUUAUAGUUCCAUUCAUUACUUCUUUCAAGUGUCGGUAUCUAAGUUUAUCUACCAGCAGGCCCACAGUUUCUUUGUAAAGACAUCUUCUCAUUCCUUUCAGCACGUCUGCGAACGGGAGAGCGGGGUCGGGCAGGAGUUCAUUAGGCAGUGACAGCACUCGUGCUAAUUAAUGGGCACGAGAGCACCCAGAGCAGCUCCCGGGACGGAGCGCUUGCCACCCCAAUGUUUUGGAAUCACUGUUCGAUCCCAGCGGUUUGAAGUUUGGGAAUGCUGUGGGACACGUCCAGGGUGUCAGUAAUGUUUUUUUUAAAGAAAGCCUCCAAGGAGCGGUGGAAGAAAACAAUAAAUAAUAUUGCCUACCUACUGUCCGUGUCC